UGACAAAAAUUUGUAGGUGGCCCCUGCCCAGUGAUUUAAACGGCCGCUUAUGUGCUAAGGUAGCAUAAUAACUUGCCUUUUAAUUGGAGGCUUGCAUGAAUGGGGUUUUAGAUUGCCUCUUUAUUCUUCUCGACCAUAAAACUUAAGAUUUACGUGCAAACUCGUAAAUUCUAAUAAAAGACCAAAAGACCCCGGGAGCUUAAAUUUUCAAUUUAUUUAUAAAUUAUAAAUUUACACUGGGAGAGUGGGGGAUAUACAUCCCUAUCUAAAUAAUAUUAACCUUCUUAAUUUAUAAUAAAGCUACCCCGGGGAUAACAGGCUACUCUUUUUCCAAAGCCCAAAUUUACAAAAAGACUUAGCACCUCGAUGUUGGCUUAAGAGUACGUGGGAUGUAGCAGUCCCGCUUAAUGGCUUGUUCCGCCAAUAAUUUCUUACGUGAUCUGAGUUCCAGACCGGA
rnacentral:rRNA from 1 species